rnacentral:tRNA from 1 species
UCCCUGGUGGUCCAGUGGCUAAGACUCUCUACUCCCAAUACAGGGGGCCUGGGUUCAAUUCCUGGUCAGGGAA